rnacentral:misc_RNA from 1 species
GUUAGUUCUUGCCUCUUGGAGACUGUUGUGUUCAAUGUUAUUGAUUUGGUGUUUCGGUCCUAGUUGCUGCCCUACUGUUUCGCCUGUACACAAAUUGAUAAUAUUAAAGGCACUUUCCUUUCAUCUUUAGUGCAGAAAAUGGCCAUGGAGAACCUACUAAAAUGUCUCGUUCGGGAUUCGCAAGCACUAGGACGUGGCUUCUUGCACAUUAAGCAACAGAGUCAAGUGGCUUUAGAAAUGUUAGAAUCUCAAACUGGGUUAAUGCAGAGCACACCACAUGAGCUACGAGAAAAGUGUUUCAUUUCGCUUCAUUCUGCCCUUGUUUCAAACUCAGGACAUUUACUGAAGCUUGGGCUGAUGGGUGUUCAGAAACUGUUACGAGACAAUCAUUUUGUUUCAAAACAUUGUGAUCCGCCAGAUGAUAGCCAGUGGUUGCUCUCCCAGUUGUUGGACUGUCUUUCGUUUCCCAGUUGGGUAAAAGUGUCAGAAGAAGUUCAGAUUGAAAUGACUAAGAUUUAUAUUAGUUUUGCUUGCCUGGAGUCAAAGUUUCUAAAUUUAAACGCACAUGUCAUCGUAGAUCUUCUCACCCGAUUGUUAGACAUGGGGCAGAGCGGAGGCAUAAGAUCACGUAAACAUCAAGUAGCUCUUCAGACAGCGUCGGUCCAAAAUUUGCAAACCUUUGGCAAAAAUAUCGCCAUCAGCGUGACGCUUAACCCCCAAAACCUCGUCCCUGGUGAAUGUGACGUUAAUCAAGUCAUUCCAAUCAUCCAAUUUCUAUGCGACAAGCUAGAAGAUGGUCUGGUGACGGCUCAAGUUUUCCCCGUCGAAUUCUCUCUCGAGUCGAUUCAAGCUUUGCUCAGCAAUUUGCCUGAUGGUGUGGUGCUAAACUCGAGAAGUCACAGCUUUGUUUGGAGAACCCUUUGUCCCACUCUUCUGAAACUUGUUGGUGUUCCCUGUCCAAACGCUCCGGCCACUACAGACAGCAAAAUUUCCGAGCUGCGAUGUGUGGCGAGCAUUGGUUGUGAGCUGUUGCGUCUCUUUGGCAAUGUUAACGUACUCCGAGCUCCGUUAGAAUCCCUCUUCCACCGCUUACUGGUCACCGAUCAUAUCGCAACUCGAAUUGAAAUGUUCAAAACCAUCAAAGAGGUCUUUUCCAAGCCUCAUCGAUUGUUGGUUAUCGGCGGACCUUUCCUCGUGGAGGGAAGUAAUCACGAAACUUUCCCUGAACCAAACGAAUUCGGGAUUCUCAGAGUAUUGUUCGACGGAAUGGAGGAAAGCAUGCAAACAGAUAAUGUCGAGUUGAGGACCAUUGUUCUAACUUGUGCAAAUACGCUGUUGACUUCUUUAUUGAGUCUGACUGGCUCCCCAACUUCUGUUCAAAUAUCCGAUAGCUUCAUGGAAAAGAUUAACUUGCUCUACGACGAUUUAGAAAGUUGCGACUAUAUUGGCGCUCUAAGCUACCCAACGAGGCUAAGAUUGCCAAAAACCUAUGAGCAGUUGCUGAAAGAUCAAACUACUAUCCCUGUGAAGCCACCCACCAUCAUGAUCGAUCUCACCCAUUUGCUGGAAGAUGAGGAGGCAGCGGAAACUGUGGUGGCCAACAAUGAUGACGACAACUGCAGCACCACUUCUGGUGUGACGGAAGGACCCGAAAUCGUCGACCAAGACGUCGAAUCGGUAGACAAGGAACCUGAAAACGACAUCGAACUUUUUGGCGCCAACGAUGGAUACGCGGCCCGUUCAAAUCACGUUGAUUUGGAGAGACUGGCCGCUCGAAAGUUCCUAGAAGAUCUCCAAUCGUUCAUUCCCAAUCUGGGCUCUUGGCGCAGUCCACUCGAAGUGGAUUUGGCUCUCCAACAGUUCGCAUCCAACUAUUGUGAAGAUGCCGGGCAAGAUCACGUCAUUUUCAAUGCUGACGGAAUCUAUUUGGCCACUUAUGUGACUCUUUUAUUGAACUUUGAGCUUGCCAAACGCGAAUACUACCCGUCACGUACUGGAUUCGUCGCUCAAAGCGAAGAUGAUUUCAUUGCCAGCGUUCUCAACAGCGGAAUAUUGGUUUAUUUGACGCCCGAGUUCUUGGCUGAACUCUAUCAAGGCGUCCUGGUCUCGGACGUCAUCGGCAAUGCAGGAUUCAACGUCAAUGCCGAUUCCAACACAUCGAUGAUGUUCAGCUGCGCAUUUAUCAAUCUUCUGACUGAUGUCAGACAAGUCAAGUGCCCAGAACAAGCGACUUGCUUCCUGUCCGAUUGCCGCAAACUUCACUUUGCCUUCACACCCAACUUUCUGCUGCGGGAACCUCGUCGACAAGCUGGUCUCAAGUUUGCUAGACGUCUUCUAACCUGCUUCUGGGACUCGUUCCUUUUUAUCUAUUCCAAUGGCGUUUCACCGACGUCCAACGAAACUGACAACCAAGCCAUUUCACAGGCGCUGGAGUGUCUUCAAAAUGCGGCGAAAUUAGCCAACAUCCUCGGAUUGCAGGAUCGUUCUGGCACCAUCUUCUCUCUUUUGGCUUCCGUCGCCUGCGGCAAUCCUCAACUUGGCAGUGCCCUGGUUCGACAAAAAUCGUCUCUGAAGAAUCGCUUGAUGAAGGCUCGACUUGCCGGAUUGAUAUCUAAACCCGUGUUUGACAUUGAUCUGCCGCACAUCCUCAGCUUGGAUGUCGUCCUGAACAAAGGCUUGGAGCUGGCGUCCUACAAUAAAGAAGCUUGGACCCAUAUUCUCCGAUGUUGCUUGUACGUGACGGAGUUGGAAAGACGAGUUUAUCAGUCGAGGAAAACUGACAGAUUCAAAGUGGCCACCCAACUGAAACAGUACACAUCUAAAAUCAAAUGGAAACUGAGCAACUCCGUUGGCUCAAAGGAUCAGCAAGGCGAUGACUUGAAUUUAUCCUCAGCCGCUUUUGGGGGAUUAGAUGACGAAAGCAGUUCUACCGACAGCUAUAGUUUCUUGACGGCAGCAAGCCAGCUGCCCAACAACGACAACGACAUCCAGCAGUUAUUGGACAAAGCAGUCAAAUGCGACAAUUAUCGGAACACCGGUCAGUUGGAUAGUAAAUUACUGGCCCGGAUUAUUGGAGUGCUGAGCGAACGUGUCGAUUUGCUCAUGGAAGAUGCGGCCGCCAAGUUGAAUCUGAAAAGUCUGUUGCUGUUGAUCGAAGAACUUUGUCAGUUGUGUCACGUUCAGUUGAACCAUCUUGACGAAGACAACAUCAGCUUACAGUGCCACUGGGUUUUGCAUAGAAUUGGUGAAGUGAUGCUUAGGAGUGUCAAGACUGGAAGGCCGCUCUAUCAUGCCCUACAUUGUUGGGCUAUCGUCGGUCCGACUCUACUCAAAGCUGCCUGCAGUAGUGAUUCGGCCAUCGCCAAAACUUCGGUGGAAAUCUUGCGAUCGAUUAUCAGUCACGUUUUGCAGGAACAACCGGAGCCUCUUCACUUCCACUUUAAUGAAGCGCUGUUCAAACCUUUCGAACAUGUUCUUUGCCGAGAGAAUUUAGAUCCCGAUUUGCAGGAUCAGGUGAUGAGUUCCCUUUGCGAAUUGGUGGAAUGCUGGAGCGGUGAAAUUCGUUCCGGAUGGCGGCCACUUUUCGCUUGCCUCCGACGCUGGCCUCCUCCACCCCAGGGGCCCACAGAUAUCUGCAGCACUAGUCGGCUAAUUCAUUCUGAGAAUAUCAGCACCGUCAAGGAAGUACUGGCCGCUUUUGUGCAACAGGGUGGAUCCCAUCCGCUUAUUUUCGCCAAUGCAGCUAUGGAUGCCAUUCUUUGUCAGCUUCACUAUCUCAAAUGUUACAGAUAUGUAGCAGAGCUCUCUGAUCCGGCGUUAGAUAACCUUCAAAAAUUUGCCAAAAUGUUGGGCCAACUCUGUAGGGAACCACACCAGACGCCCGUGUUCUAUUCUGCCAUGAGCUUGACAUUUUUACCUAACGAGUGCGAUUUCGAGCCGUUAAUCGCUUUGGCAUUGGAGCAUCGUGAUCAAAUGGAUGCCGAAGAAUACGGUUGCUGGUCCAGUCUGUUUGAGGUGAUCAGGCCUCAAUCUGGUCACGCGGUCAAAUUGUGGGACAACCCUACAGGAAUUUACAAAGUGUUUUACUUGCUGUUGGACGGAGUCACUUGCUGUCUUACGCACGCCAAAGAUCCCGUCCAAAAAUCAAUUGGCGAAGUCGUCAUGGCCACUCUAAUACUGCUCAUCGACAUUCAAGAGUACGAGUUUGCUCUUCUCUGCCUGAGAUGUUCCAUUCUACCUGGGAUGAGUCACUGGUUGACUGGUCUGUUGAGCAUUAACCGAACAACUCAAACUGGAGGCGCCAGUUUAGGCACUUUCAAACAAGUAUGCGGCCUACUCUGCGAAGUCAUGACUCGACUUCUCUCGGCCGAAGAGACGAGCCGUCUUGUGGAUACGAAAGACUUGUCCGCCUUAUUCCGGGAAGUGACCCUCUUCUACGUGGAAUGUGCCGUCCAAGAUGACGAAUCCCUCGUGCGCAUUGGCAAUUCCUGCUUGCGCCAUUUGAUCGUCAACUGCGGACAACAUUUCCAGACGCUCUGCCCUUCCGGCGAACUGUGGCAAGUGUCUGCUUCAGCCCUUUGUCUGAUUGUUCGCUGUAGCCUCACGGCGGUGCAGAGGCUCAUUCAGAAUGACAGAGCCGGUGAGCAGCAGGAACGCCAACAAUUUCGAUUGCAACAUCUAUCCAUGCAGAUCUUUAAUCAACCCGUGGCCGAGUCCCUGUCGCCCAUGUGCAGCUGCAACAUAUUCGUCGCUUUGCUCUCUUAUCAGUUGGCUAUCAACACCAUCGCCAAUAUUGUGUGUUACAACAAUUCGAUCCUGACCGGGGAUGAAAAGAUUAUGAAAUCGGCCGUGUUUGCUGAAAACAUGCAACCUUGUGCUGCAGUUGAGCCCAAGAUCCUGGCGAUUUUGACUAGCGUCUUGCGUUUGGGAUGCGAAUUCGGUAUAGACUUUGAGAUUGCACUCGGCAUGCGGAGGCAUCUCCAGAAGCUUUACGGUUUUUCGCAACCCCCUAGUCUUGCCCAAGUGACUGGGCUCAGUUCGGAUUUACUUAUUGUAGCCCUGGCUAACAUUGCACUGCAUUAUUCAACUCACAUGAGGGAUCUCGAACAAUGGCUAGAUUUUCUCAUCGAUUUCUACUUUCAAGAAUCGGGCAAUGAGCUCCCUCCGGCUGAUUCCGUGCCGACUGACAACACAUCAGAGUUCCAGCUCGUGUCUUCCAGCAAGUCCAAGGAAAAUGUUGGAACUAAUGAUAACGACACAACGAUAGUAGUCCAAGUGGAAACGGAAGAGAAAAUUGAAGGAGAAGCCAACGAAUGUGUGACAUCGACUCCAAAGUCCGGGUCAAUAGAAGAGUCGGACGAAAAGAAACAGUUGCUGGACACCAGAGAGGAAAAAAAUGAUGAAGAGUGUAGCAGUCCUUCAUCCUCUGAAUGUCUUUCUGGAGCAAGGACUCCACAAGAAGAUGACCAUAUCAUUAAACAACAGAUGGCGGCAGCUUUAGAGUCCUACAGAAGGCAGAAGAGAUUGCAAACGAGAAUUAUCAACACGGUCGAACCCAAAUCUUCUAGGAUAACGAAGGUCACCCCGGAAAUCAUAUCGAAAAUUCUGCUACUUUCAGCUAUUCGACUCUUGUCUCGACUCGAUAAAAACGUCCAAAAUUCUUUCCAAAUUGUCUGGAAUAUCAUGUCAAGGAUCAAUCUCCACUGCUCUGACCAACAGAUGCGCAAGGCACACGAAGAGUUUGAGCAACUUUUCCCUCUUUAUUCGUUUGAAUCCGACAGUUGCCAAGACACAGUUUGCCCUUGAGCAGUUCAGUUUCCUCGUUGGAAUAUCUGUGUCCCCUUUCAUUUUCCCUUAAUCAUACCUUGCCCCGUUCACCGUGUUCCCCCUUAAUGGUUGUGUUGUUCUAAUAUAAAAUUCGUUUCAGUGGAUCAACGAUAUUGAUUACAUUAUAGUUGUGUCAAAAAACAUA